rnacentral:misc_RNA from 1 species
CUGAGUGAGGGCCCUCUGGGUCCAACCUCCCACCCGUGUUUAUUGUACCUUGUUGCUUCGGUGCGCCCGCCUCACGGCCGCCGGGGGGCUUCUGCCCCCGGGUCCGCGCGCACCGAAGACACCAUUGAACUCUGUAUGAAGAUUGCAGUCUGAGCGAAAACUAAAUAAGUUA